rnacentral:rRNA from 1 species
AGUGAACGCUGGCGGUAGGCCUAACACAUGCAAGUCGAACGGCGGCACAGUAAGAGCUUGCUCUUACGGGUGGCGAGUGGCGGACGGGUGAGGAAUACAUCGGAAUCUACUUUUUCGUGGGGGAUAACGUAGGGAAACUUACGCUAAUACCGCAUACGACCUACGGGUGAAAGCAGGGGAUCUUCGGACCUUGCGCGAUUGAAUGAGCCGAUGUCGGAUUAGCUAGUUGGCGGGGUAAAGGCCCACCAAGGCGACGAUCCGUAGCUGGUCUGAGAGGAUGAUCAGCCAACCUGGAACUGAGACCCGGUCCAGACUCCUAAGGGAGGCAGGAGUGGGGAAUAUUGGACAAGGGGCGGAAGCCUGAUCCAGCCCUACCGCGUGGGUGAAGAAGGCCUUCGGGUUGUAAAGCCCUUUUGUUGGGAAAGAAAAGCAGCAGGUUAAUACCCCGCUGUUCUGACGGUACCCAAAGAAUAAGCACCGGCUAACUUCGUG